AUUGAACGCUGGCGGCAGGCCUAACACAUACAAGUCGAGCGGGGUUUUCGGACCUAGCGGCGGACGGGUGAGUAAUGCGUAGGAAGCUACCCGAUAGAGGGGGAUACCAGUUGGAAACGACUGUUAAUACCGCAUAAUGUCUACGGACCAAAGUGUGGGACCUUCGGGCCACAUGCUAUCGGAUGUGCCUACGUGGGAUUAGCUAGUUGGUGAGGUAAUGGCUCACCAAGGCGACGAUCCCUAGCUGGUUUGAGAGGAUGAUCAGCCACACUGGAACUGAGACACGGUCCAGACUCCUACGGGAGGCAGCAGUGGGGAAUAUUGGACAAUGGGCGCAAGCCUGAUCCAGCCAUGCCGCGUGUGUGAAGAAGGCCUUCGGGUUGUAAAGCACUUUCAGUAAGGAGGAAGCGUUGAGUGUUAAUAGUACUCAGCGUUGACGUUACUUACAGAAGAAGCACCGGCUAACUCUGUGCCAGCAGCCGCCGUAAAAC
rnacentral:rRNA from 1 species